ACUGGCAUGGUAGGGUAAAUGUUCCAAAUGAGCGCCUGUUAAGCGGAUGGUCGCAGGUUCAAGUCCUGCUGACGGCGCCA
rnacentral:tRNA from 1 species